CGUACUUGCCACCGAGCUACCGUGAUUUACCUCCCUCGUGAUGACCCUGGGCAGGGUGCGGCGGGGGCCCUGAGGUGAGGGCGAGGGUUUCGCCUUUGCCAUUGCCACGAAGUUUCCUCUCCGCAGCUGCCCCUUUUCCUCUCCGCAUUGCUUCCGCAUCUCUCCGCAGCCAACCCUUUUCCUCUCUGUAUCGCUCCGCAUCGCAUCGCCUCCACAUCUCUCCAUAGCCGGCCCUCUUCCUCUCCACAUCGCCUCGGCAUCGCAGGUGGCCUUUCUUCCAUCGUACCUCCUUCCUUCCUUUCCCCUGUAGCACCGCAUCCACCGUCUCCACUGCAUGCCUCCCUCUUCACAGCAGCAACCUCCGCAGCAAGCAAGGAAAAAGAAAAAGGGACACCCUCCAACAUCAGCUGAAUUAUUCUAAGCUUGCUUUACUCAUGCCAAUGGGAGUCCCUCAAGCAAUGUUGUAGCAGAAAGAUUAACUAGCUGAUGAAAGAGUUUCUAUUGUUUCUAAUUUGCUUCCCAUUUUUUUGACAUGGAUUCAGCAGCACAGACCCAAGAAAUGGUAAUUAUUUUCUUUUGAAAAUGUUUGGAUUGUUUCAAGUCAAGAUGAUUUCAUUCUCCAGUAACUUAGUAUGAUUAUUUUAAAAGAUGUAUACUUCAAGGUUUAUUGACUAUUACUUCUUUUGUACAUGGACAAUUUUUGCUCUCAA